GUUUAAUUGAAAACACUCCAUCAGCCUUUUGAAAGUAAAUUUUGAGAUCCAGCGAGUGGGGCUGAUGAUAUCCAGACAGCCUGGGCAGCUGAGAUUCGGAGCUCAGCUCACACGAAGAGGCAGCCGAUCAGCUGUGCUCAUGAGCGGUGCAGGUGUGCAGCUGUGAGACGGUCAGCUGUGCUCGUGAGCGGUGCAGGUGUGCAGCUGUGAGACGGCCAGCUGUGCUCGUGAGCGGUGCAGGUGUGCAGCUGUGAGACGGUCAGCUGUGUUCGUGAGCAGUGCAGGUGUGCAGCUGUGAGGACAUUCCAGGGUCAUCAUUACCAGCUGUGACCUUGUGCCCCUGACUCCCCGACUUGGGUUCCUUUUCUUUAAAUGGGACUCAUCAAAUGAAAACCUCUCAGUGUUGUCGUGAGGAUUAAGCCAAAUAGUGCAAACAAAAUGCCUAGCACGGUACAGCGGUUUACAGUCAAUGCUUUCAAUGGCGCUGGCUGUGAACAUUUGGUAACUGUAACCAGUUAACUUUCAGGGCUAGAUAUGACAACACAUCCUGCAAAUUCCUCCAUUUUAAUCUAAUCAAAAUAUAUAAUCUGCAAAAUACAAAAUAAAAGAGGAACACAGUGUCUGCUUGGGAAGGCUUCCAUUUACAAACAGCAUGUUGAAAAAGUUCACUUUAGUUUGGAGGACUCUGUUCCCAUAGCAACAGUGCUCUAAGUGUGUGUGUGGGGGGGCUUAAAGUCCAAGGACUCACAAGGGCAAAUUAACUCUUAGUUACGUGAAAUAUUGUGUUAGUCCUCAUAGGGUUAAACAAUGACUGUACUUGUAAUGAAACAAAGAAAAAAUUGAUAUGAAAAUAAGAUUGAAAUAUUUUAAAAUCCUGUGGCUCAAAGGAAAGCAGGAUGAACUAGGGGCCAAAUGAGGAAGCUGUGGGGCCUUGGGGUUUGAGACAGGGCACUUAAUUAAAUGUAAGGCUGUUUUCCUUGGUGCAAGGGCCCCCAUACUCAUCUGUAUUGUUCAGCCCUCAAGAGAAUCUUCACUGGCUGGUAAACGAACAAGAAUAGCUGGAGAAGGAAUACUUGAUAUAGUAUAAAAAAGGCCCUUGGCCAGGCAUGGUGGCUCCAGCCUGUAAUCCCAGCACUUUGGGAGGCUGAGACAGGACUGCUUGAGCCUAGGAGUUCUAGACCAGCCUGGGCAACACAGCAAGACCCAGGUGCGGUGGCACAAACCUGUAAUAUAAGCUACUUGGGAGGCUGAGGCAGGAGGACUGCCUGAGCCCAGGAGCUUCAGGCUCCAAGUCAGCUAUGACUGUGCCACUGCACUCCAGCCUGGGCAACAGAGCGAGACCUCGAAAACUAGGGGGUGAGCAGGUUAAAGCUGAGUUCUCUG
rnacentral:lncRNA from 1 species